GAUUGAAACCCCUGUCAUGUCUGUACGGUAAAUAUUGAGCUGCAGCAGGCUGCCAGUUAUCUUAGCUUAGCAUAAAGACUGGAAGGAGAGAAACAGCUAGCUAAUACGUCAUAUCGCUUUCCCUGUUUUCCCAUACAAAAUCACAAGUUUAAAAUCAUAAUUUGUGAUUUUAUGGGAGGUUAUGUGCUGAGUAUUUUCAGUUUAAACAAACAAGGUACAACAUGUUAAUCAGUAAGCUUACAUUUUGUUACUUUUGUUAGUCCACUCUUUCCGAUCUAACUUCCUAAGCUAAGCUAACCGGCUGCUGUCAGUAGCUUGAUAUUGAAGCAACAGAUAUUAAAUUGGUAUCAAUAUUCUCAUUUAAUUCUCUGCAACAAAGUAAAAAAAGUGUAUUUCCCAAAAUGUCAAACUACUACUUUAAAUUUCGGUAUUUAUAAUUGUAAGUGUGUAAGAUUUCAAAACUUUAAGGAAUGCUAAUCUGGCACUGAAGUGAUUUUACACUUUCUAAUUCCAGCUUCUUCAUUGCAACGUGGCAAAACCCAAACCCAGUGUAGUCUUGUUAUUCUCACACAUUUAAACCCUUGUCUUCUUUCCUGUGAGCUGAUUAUAAUCAGAUUAGUGCUGAGUGGAGGAGGAAUGUAUGAAUGAGCAGACUCUAAUACUACAAGCAACUUCAGGAUCAUUGGAAAUGAUGACUUUACAGAAGUACACUCCACUGUCGCCCCACUGCAGCUCCCCAAUACGUAGAUCUGCUUCUGCACAGAGACCGAAAACAAGGUUAUAUACCAGUGCUCAGCCAGCGUCAUGGAGGCUCCCUGCGCCGAGGCCACAACUCGAACUGUGCGGCCGCUGUCGGAGCACUCCAGGUGGGACGUGGCGCCCAGCUCGGAGGACUUGACGCCCAGACUCUCGGACACGGUGAAGGACUCUCGUGUGCGGUCUCGACAGUAGGACUUGUACCACCACUGGACCACCGGGGUCUGAGUGGAGGCUGUUUGGUACUGACACGGGAGGACCACAGACUGGAAGAGCAUCGCAAACCGCCGCUUCUCCCGCACUGUGACAUGCACACCAUCGCACACACACACUGAUAAGAGAAGAGAGAAAAUGGAAAUAAAUCUUGUUAAAAAAUGAAGAGCUUUUGUCUCCUGGACAUGUGAUU